rnacentral:rRNA from 1 species
CUGUUCUAAGAUAAGCCAUGCACGUCUAAGUACAAACUAAAUGAUGGUGAAACUGCAAAUGGCUCAUUACAACGGUUAUGAUGUACCCGGGAGUUCCGAUGGAUAUUUCCAGUAACACUAGAACUAAUACAUGUCCCUGCGUUUAUUAGUUUCGCACAGUCCGUCGCUGAGUCAUGGUAAACAGUUGAUCGACUCGACGUCCCGGAACAGUUUCCGCCCCAUCAGCUUCGAUGGUUGGGUAUUGGCCUACCAUUGCAACAACGGGUAACGAGGAAUUAGGGUUUGAUUUCGGAGAGGGAGCCUGAGAAACGGCUACCACAUCUACGGAUGGCAGCAGGCGCGCAAAUUACCCAAUGCAGACACUGUGAGGUAGUGACGAGAAAUAAUAAAGCGGGACUUCUGUUUCGCUAUUAUAAUGAGGAAUAACCAAAGGUCAUUCCGAUUAGCAACUGAUGGGAAAGUCUGGUGCCAGCAGCCGCGGUAAUACCAGCGUCAGUAGC